UUGGAUGAUGAAAUGCACUGGGCUCUCAGCAUUUUUUUGUUGAUGGAAAUGCAUUUGCCUUGAAAGCAUUGUCUGACUU